GUGCUCGCUUCUGCGGCACAUAUACUAAUAUUGGAACAAUACAGAGAAGAUUAGCACGGCCCCUGCGCAAGGGUGACAUGCAAAUUCGUGAAGUGUUCCAAUUAGAA
rnacentral:snRNA from 1 species